CGAGGCUACAGUUGGGGCCGCCGCCCGCUGGUCCGCCGCCCUGCGCCAUGGCGGGCUGCGCGGCGCGGGCUCCGCCGGGCUCCGAGGCGCGCCUCAGCCUCGCCACCUUCCUGCUGGGCGCCUCGGUGCUCGCGCUGCCACUGCUCACGCGCGCCGGCCUGCAGGGCCGCACCGGGCUGGCGCUCUACGUGGCUGGACUCAACGCGCUGCUGCUGCUGCUCUACCGGCCGCCGCGCUACCAGAUAGCCAUCCGAGCCUGUUUCCUUGGCUUUGUGUUUGGCUGUGGAGUGCUACUCAGUUUUAGCCAGUCUUCUUGGAAUCACUUUGGCUGGUAUAUGUGCUCCCUGUCAUUGUUCCACUAUUCUGAGUACUUAGUCACAGCAGUCAAUAAUCCCAAGAGUCUGUCCCUGGAUUCCUUUCUCCUGAAUCACAGUGUGGAGUAUACAGUGGCAGCUCUUUCCUCUUGGAUAGAGUUCACACUUGAAAAUAUCUUCUGGCCAGAACUGAAGCAGAUCACCUGGCUCAGCGCCACGGGGCUGCUGAUGGUGGUCUUUGGAGAGUGUCUGCGGAAAGCGGCGAUGUUUACAGCUGGUUCCAAUUUCAACCACGUGGUGCAGAAUGAAAAGUCAGACACCCACACUCUGGUGACAAGCGGAGUAUACGCUUGGUUCCGGCAUCCUUCUUAUGUUGGGUGGUUUUACUGGAGUAUCGGAACCCAGGUGGUGCUGUGUAACCCCAUCUGCGGCGUGAGCUACGCUCUGACAGUGUGGCGCUUCUUCCGCGACCGGACAGAGGAGGAGGAGAUCUCGCUGAUUCACUUUUUUGGAGACGAGUACCUGGAGUAUAAGAAGCGGGUGCCCACGGGCCUGCCUUUCAUAAAGGGGGUCAAGGUGGAGCUAUGAUAGGCCCGGGCGGCCCAGGCCAGGCUGGGGCCCCCCCACUCCAGGCAGCGUGGGACGGAACUGCUUCCUGUCGGCCACGCUGCAGAACGGACUUUCUUAAAUCAUUUUGUGUGUCACCAGUGACUCUUCUGGAAUAUCACUCAAGAUCAAAUGGUCAGAAGGCCUUAGGACCAAAGGACCCCACUCCCACCCCCACUCCCACCUCCCCGCUGCCCGGAGCAGCCUGUUCCCGGGCUGCAUCAAGAGGUUUACAGGUUCAUCGGUGACAGGUGUGACAUUUGCUGGUUUGAGGACCGGACAGAUUCCAGCCUCGGCCUCCUGAGGUCUCGCAGGCAGACAGCCCAGGCAGCAGCCAGGGUCUCGCGGCAGAUUCUUCUGGCGGGAACACUGCCCGGCGGGACGUCAACAUGCACUUACUGUGUUUGAGGACUUGAGUCAGUGCUAAACUUGUUCUGCAGACCACUCCUAGUGAAAUACACUCCCCUUCAUAGGAUUGCAAAACUGAGGAGGGUGUAGCUGGGGUUUUGGCGGCCACCCCCAGCUCUUUGAGGGAAAGUCCUUUCUUGCUGCAUCUAGCAUGUUAGGACCCAGCUUUCAUUACCACUGGGGGUCGUGAAGUUGUCUCUUCAGCAGAUGGAGAGGAGCUAGUGACGACCCUGGCUUUGUGGACAGUAAGGCCGGAGGUGUUGGCCUCUGACGGUCCGUCCUUCCUCUGCCGGCCUGCCAGGCCUGGAGCUCAGGAGGCAGGCCCUGGUGUCGGCAGGGAGAUGUUGCUGUCACACCACCUGGGCUGGACGUGACAUUCUGCUCUGCUUGAAAGAGCAGUUCCACAAGCAAGUUCCCACCCUGAUUUGUAACCCAGGGCGGAAGUCCGCAAUUACUUGGGGAUCAGAGAUGAACUACUUAGGGGCAGGAUUUGGCAAGUGAUUGACUUUCAUCUAGCACUGAGAUCUUCAGGUUAUUUUUACCUUUAUAAGUUCAGCAGUGACAGCGCACAAGGAAGAGAAUGAGGUUAAUGGGGUACAGGCUUCUUGGGUAUUCCCGAAAGCUUAUUUUGGGUAAAGGCCACAUCACCGGUCCCCUCAAAUUAAGAAACCGUCAGGAGAUUUCUUUUUCCAUUGCAGGUUUCAAAGCGGAGACUCUGAAAUGGAAAAUAGGCACUGCACAGAACAAAGCUAUUUUGAAGCAGUGCAAAAUGAAACACUUCACGAGGGUUUGCAGGCUGGGGCCGAGACCGGCGGUUUACUGAAACGAGGUUGUAGGUGAGCCUGGCAGAGGGCAGGAGGCAGCGCACCCCGCCGGCCCUUCAUUGUCAUAAACUGCUGCAUAAACCUACAAAGUGAACUUUAUCAAUCCCUUCCACUUAUUUAGCACUCUGGGUGAUUAACAUGAUGGGGGAACAUCGCUAAACCCACCGCUUGUGUUGACACGUGAGGUUCCGUAGGGUCUCGACUGCAGCUCCGUUUGGUCGCAGCCCCUCUGUGACAGGAACAGUGAACCACUGUCCCUUCUCUGCACUUUCUUACUGCCUUAGAUAGUUGUGCCCUCCCUCUGUGUUUUGCUUCUGCAGUGACUUGGUGAGGCCAGGCGACCCCAGCCUGUCUGGCAUGGUGCGAGAGGCUUGCUGUCUGUGCCCCGCUGUGGGGGCCUGACGCCCUGUCCUGGGCUCGGUCCCAAGCGCUUGCCCCUGCAGGACUGUCCCCUAGCUUAGGCUAGGAGAGUAACCUAAUGGGGUAAUUACUCUUCUUUUUACAUGCAGAAAUGUUUAUUUAAAUAUUGGAUUUUCUUUCACAGAAAUUAUUUCCAAUGCUUAAAUAAAACUGUACUUGAUUUCACUAUGAACAAUAGUA